UACGUAGGUGGCAAGCGUUGUCCGGAUUUAUUGGGCGUAAAGCGAGCGCAGGCGGUUCCUUAAGUCUGAUGUGAAAGCCCACGGCUCAACCGUGGAAGGUCAUUGGAAACUGGGGAACUUGAGUGCAGAAGAGGAGAGUGGAAUUCCAUGUGUAGCGGUGAAAUGCGUAGAUAUAUGGAGGAACACCAGUGGCGAAGGCGACUCUCUGGUCUGUAACUGACGCUGAGGUGCGAAAGCGUGGGUAGCAAACAGGAUUAGAUA
rnacentral:rRNA from 1 species